rnacentral:rRNA from 1 species
UGCCAGCCGCCGCGGUAAUACGGAGGGUGCAAGCGUUAAUCGGAAUUACUGGGCGUAAAGGGUUCGUAGGCGGUUAUUUAAGUUAGAUGUGAAAGCCCCGGGCUUAACCUGGGAACUGCAUUUAAAACUGAGUAACUAGAAUGUGUUAGAGGAAGGCGGAAUUCCCGGUGUAGCAGUGAAAUGCGUAGAUAUCGGGAGGAACACCAGUUGCGAAGGCGGCCUUCUGGGACAACAUUGACGCUGAGGAACGAAAGCGUGGGUAGCAAACGGGAUUAGAUA